rnacentral:rRNA from 1 species
ACGAACGCUGGCGGCAUGCCUAACACAUGCAAGUCGAACGAAAGCCUUCGGGCUCUUAGUGGCGCACGGGGUGCGUAAACGGCGUGGGAAUCUGCCCCUCUGGCCACGGAAUAACUCAGGGAAACUUGAGCUAAUACCGUAUAAUGACUUCGGUCCAAAGAUUUAUCGCCUGAGGAAUGAGCCCGCGUCGGAUUAGCUAGUUGGUGGAGGGUAAAAGCUCACCAAGGCGGACGAUCCGUAGCUGGUCUGAGGAGGAUGAUCAAGCCACACUGGGGACUGAGGACACGGGCCCCAGACUCCUACGGAGAAGCAGCAGCAGUGGGGAAUCUUGCGUCAAUGUGGCGCGAAAGCCUGGACGCAGCGACGCCGCGUGCGGGAUGAAGGCCCUUCGGGGUUGUGUAAACCGCUUUUCAGCAGGGACGAAAUUGACGGUACCCGCAGAAAGAAAGCCCCGGCCCAACUACGUGCCAAGCAAGCCGGCGGUAAUACGUAGGGGGCGAUGCGUUGUCCGGAUCUUAUUGGGCGUAAAAGAGCUCGUAGGCGGUUCGGUAAGUCGGAUGUGAAAUCUCCACGCUCAACGUGGAGGGCCAUUCGGAUACUGCCGUGACUCGAGUCCGGUAGGGUGAGUGUGGAAUUCCCGGUGUGUAAGCGGGUGAAAUGCGCAGAGGAUCGGGAAGGAACACCCCGUAGCGAAGGCGGCACUCUGGGGCCGGUACUGAACGCUGAGGAGCGGAAAAAGCGUGGGGGAAGCGAACAGGAAUUAGAUACCCUGGUAGUCCACGCCGUAAACGUUGGGCCACUAGGUGUGGGACUCUAUCCGACGGGUUCCCGUGCCGUAGCUAACGCAUUUAAGUGCCCCGCCUGGGUGAGUACGGGCCGCAAGGCUAAAAACUCAAAAGGAAUUGGACGGGGGGGCCCCGCACAAGCGGCGGAAGCAUGUGGCUUAAUUCGAUGCAACGCGAAGAAACCUUACCCUGGUUGAACUAUGGCAAGGGGUAAAGGAAAAGCAGUAGAGAUACUGUGUCCUUCGGGGCCUGCGAUAGGUGGUGCAUGGCUGUCGUCAGCUCGUGUCGUGUGGAAGAUGGUUGGGUUAAAGUCCCCGCAACGAGCGCAACCCCUAUCCCAUGUUUGCCAGCGGGGUCAUGCCGGUGGAACUCGUGGGAGACUGCGCCGGUGCCAAACCGGAGGAAAGGGUGGGGGAUGACGUCAAGUUCAUCAUGCCCCUUACGUCCAGGGCUGCACACAUGCUACAAUGGCCGGUACAAAGGGUGUUUGCUACUUCCGCGAGGAGACGCCAACCCCAAAAAAGCCCGGUCUCAGUUCGGAAUCGUAGUCUGCAACUCGACUGCGUGAAGUCGGUAAGAAGUCGCUAGUAAUCGCAGAUCAGCAUUGCUGCGGUUGAAUACGUUCCCGGGCCUUGUACACACCGCCCGUCACACCACGAAAGUUGGCAACACCCGAAGCCGGUGGCCCCAACCCUCCUGGGAGGGAGCCGUCGAAAUGGUGGGGGUUUAGCGACUUUGGGG